GAAGAACGUAUUUGAUAGUAACUGAUCAGGUAGUGACGGUAUCCAACCAGAAAGCCACGGCUAACUACGUGCCAGCAGCCGCGGUAAUACGUAGGUGGCAAGCGUUGUCCGGAUUUAUUGGGCGUAAAGCGAGCGCAGGCGGUUUCUUAAGUCUGAUGUGAAAGCCUUCGGCUCAACCGAAGAAGUGCAUCGGAAACUGGGAAACUUGAGUGCAGAAGAGGACAGUGGAACUCCAUGUGUAGCGGUGAAAUGCGUAGAUAUAUGGAAGAACACCAGUGGCGAAGGCGGCUGUCUGGUCUGUAACUGACGCUGAGGCUCGAAAGCAUGGGUAGCAAACAGGAUUAGAUACCCUGGUAGUCCAUGCCGUAAACGAUGAGUGCUAGGUGUUGGAGGGUUUCCGCCCUUCAGUGCCGCAGCUAACGCAUUAAGCACUCCGCCUGGGGAGUACGACCGCAAGGUUGAAACUCAAAGGAAUUGCGGG
rnacentral:rRNA from 1 species